CAGAAUCAAGACGAUGAAGAAGAAGACAGAGUUUGGCGCAAGAGAGGACAAGGGAAGAAGAAAGGAGAGGCCCAACCUCUGACGAUAAGGUUCAAGGUUCCCUUUUUUGACUUAUUCAAGCUUCUUCAUUUGCUAAUCUCUAUCUGUAUUCGAGUUCAUGGCCAGAACCUUGAAAUGAUGGAAGACAAGUAGAAAGAGUUAACAGAAAGGAUUCAUUGCAUGAAACGCAUCGCAUUUUUGGCUUCUUCACUUUUCAUCUUUUGAACACACAAAACAUGGAUUCCUUUCUCUAUCUUAUUUAUACGUCCUCUGUUGAAGGAUUUUAUCGAUCAUUUGUCUUCAUCUUCAUCAUCUUCUUUCACCAUCAUUUCACUGGUUCCAGCCAUUCUUGCCAGUGGUUCAUUUUGUCACCUGAAAGGUCUCAGACAGUUUCUCAAAAUUCUGGAAAGGAUUACUUCAAGCAAAAACAUAUUUAGAAAUUUAGAAACUCUGAAUAUGUUUUGUAUUUAAUGGUAACAAAUGAAAUUGAUAGUUAUUAGAUGACUAAAGUGUCACACUGAAUCUUACAUCUCAUGAAUAUGGCUAUCUGGCAGCUGCCUUGGCAUUAAAGGCUUAACCAAUGCUUCGAUUGAUUGCAUCUUGGUUACCACUAAUGUGUAUGUUCAAUAGUUCAAUAAAGAGGAUAAAUUGCGGUUUGCUUCAACUUUUAAUUAAUUACCAACUCAACCUGUUGUUCACUGGUUCAAAAUAGAUUCCUAUCAUUUAAUAACAAUAACAGCUUAUUGCCCAAUCUUAAUUAUCCUUUCAAUUUAUGCAUUUGAAGGGUUUUAAUAUCUUUAAAUUAAACACAUUUGUGAGCAUAUUAGUUGAUCACAUGUAAUUUCAUCAGAGUGGUUAAGAUACACUUUGAUGAAAUUUUUAUAUAAUGUUCAAGUUUCCUAAUCUGCCAGAUUGAAUACGAUUUUACAAGAAUUAUUGAAUUUAGGUUUCUACUAUUGAAUACUGUGUGGAAAGUAUCUUUUAAAUGAUCAAUUUAAAUGGAUCAAUACCUUUCAUUGAAAAUUACCAGCUCAUUCAAUCAUAUUCAAUUCAUCAAUGACUAAAUUGGUUGCAAUUUUGACUAAACCCAGAAAAUAUACAACAUAUCGUUUCUUUAGUAAACACUUCUUGGUUUGAGUGGUUCAUUUUGUUGUAUUGGGAACCUAAAAAUAUCAAUAAUAUCUGUAGACAACCAAGAAACCAAUUUUAAUCAUAUUAUGAGUGAAAUACAAAUUUCAAGAGGUUCGUUGUUGCAGUUGACACAAAAAUUGCCUCUACAAUUAAUCAAUGACAGUAACUCUGAACUUAUGACCAAUUUUCCUCUUCCUUUACCUCUUACAGAUCAUGUUUUACAUUGAAACAAAACUAUUUGUAAGAUUUUGCUUCUAGAUUAAAAUGGUUACUAUAGUGCAAUUAAAAUUAUCUGGUUGAAGAGUUAUAAAUUUAUUAUGUAAAAAAAGUAGCUAAGUGUUAACCAAAUUAAGUUAGUUGUUUUAAGGAGGCCUCAGCAGUUUGUUUUUGGCAUCCUCAUCUGAUAUACCAGUGAACAAGUGGUUGGUGCAGACAACAAAACAAGGCGAAAUCCAAAAAUAUGAACAUUGUACAAUGAAGAUGAACACUUUAAACGAUAAAAAUUGGCUAUAAUAAUCAAUGGAUCGUGUAACAUUAGCUUAUCAUCAGGGAAUCCAUCAAGAAAAUCUUUACUGGUGAUCAAUUGAAAUUCACUCAUUGGAUCAACAAGACUUAAUAGAUUGAAACUGAUAACGACAGACAAUUCUUUGUUUCAAUUUCACUAAAAUCAUCACCAUAACAACAAAGACAGGAGCUUUGGGAGUUCGAGGUUUCCUGCAUUCAACUGAUGUUCAUUGGAUCACAACCAAAACAUUCACCGCAUUAUUUUUGUUCACAAUUUAUUGAGCUUAAAAUUACUAAUAAUUGAUCUAAUUUAAACUUAAUUAACGAUCAAAACUCAUUUGAAUGCAGCUUAAAGUGAGUUUCAAGCUACAGAUAUGCAAAACCCAGCAAGACAAGUAAACAUCAACAGAGAAACGAUAAUAAACAAAAAUGAUUACCAUCUAA